ACCCGCGUAUUUAGGUUCCCACGUGCGCAGCCGGCCGCUGACCAAUCAGCGGCCGCUACAAGACAACGCCUGGGCCGUCAGCCGACCAAUCCAGCGGACCUCAGAGCCGUCGCAGGGGGGCGGGCAUUGCUAGAGCGACUGCCAAGGGGAGAGGCUCUGGUUCCCUCUGCGCGGCCGCAGUUCCGGCCUCCGAGCCCCUGUAGCUCGGCGUUCGUUCGCGGGGGCUGGUGGGAUCGGAACCCCGUGCUAGACCGAAAACACGAGCCUCUAAGGCUGAGAGGGGUUUAGUGCGGCUGCGCAGGAGCGCCGGCGCGCGCGAUUCUUCCUGUGGUGGAGCGGGUUUAAGGAGGCGGCUCGCGGGGGUGAGGCGUUUAGGGUGAGGUAACACAGACCUUGGAGCCAGAUUUGCUGGGUUUGUACCCCAGCCCCAACAGUUAAGCGCUCUAUGGCUUUGGGCAACUCAGGUAGCAUGAAUCUCAUCAGCACAGAGAGAAAGCUUCACUGAAAACUCAUUGCAGGUCGCACCCCCUCAACUCAGAUGGCAACAGUGCAGUCAGAGGCCUGCCCUUCUGAGCCUCAGACCCAUGCAGCAGUAGGAAUUGAGGUUAAAACACAGAUGCCACUAACCUGCAAACCAAAUGGCAUGAGUCAAUGACACCAGCUCCGAGACCUGUUUUGAGCCCAAGCAAUGGUCCAAGUCGCACAUAGGUCACCUUGCUUGAUCUAACAACAGAUCAACCUCAGAAAGAGGCAUUUUUGACAGAAUUUCACCCACUGAAA